rnacentral:rRNA from 1 species
AACCUCCGCAAUGUGAGAAAUCGCGACGGGGGGAUCCCAAGUGCCAUUCUUAACGGGAUGGCUUUUCUUAAGUGUAAAAAGCUUUUGGAAUAAGAGCUGGGCAAGACCGGUGCCAGCCGCCGCGGUAACACCGGCAGCUCUAGUGGUAGCAGUUUUUAUUGGGCCUAAAGCGUCCGUAGCCGGUUUAAUAAGUCUCUGGUGAAAUCCUGUAGCUUAACUGUGGGAAUUGCUGGAGAUACUAUUAGACUUGAGACCGGGAGAGGUUAGAGGUACUCCCAGGGUAGAGGUGAAAUUCUGUAAUCCUGGGAGGACCGCCUGUUGCGAAGGCGUCUAACUGGAACGGUUCUGAGGUCGAGGGACGAAAGUUAGGGGCGCGAACCGGAUUAGAUACCCGGGUAGUCCUAACUGUAAACGAUGCGGACUUGGUGUUGGGGUGGCUUUGAGCUGCUCCAGUGCCGAAGGGAAGCUGUUAAGUCCGCCGCCUGGGAAGUACGGUCGCAAGACUGAAACUUAAAGGAAGU